GCAUUAAUGGGGUAGUGGUAACCUGGGUCGUUGCCAUUCGAGUAUCGUUUGUUUAUUCGACCCGCCGGGGGUUCGAUUCCCUCUUAAUGCA
rnacentral:tRNA from 1 species